CCGAGAAUAUUCCGCAAUGGGCGAAAGCCUGACGGAGCGACGCCGCGUGAACGAUGAAGGUCUUCGGAUCGUAAAGUUCUUUUAUGGGGGAGGAAGUCAUUGACGUUACCCCAUGAAUAAGAGGCUCCUAACUCUGUGCCAGCAGGAGCGGUCAUACAGAGGCCUCAAGCGUUACCCGGAAUCACUGGGCGUAAAGGGUGUGUAGGUGGUGGUAUUAGUCUUUUGUUAAAUACCGGGGCUUAACCUCGGAAGUGCGAGAGAAACGGUACCACUAGAGGGCGAGAGAGGUGUACGGAACUCAUGGUGUAGGGGUGAAAUCCGUUGAUAUCAUGGGGAACACCAAAGGCGAAGGCAGUACACUGGCUCGUACCUGACACUGAGACACGAAAGCGUGGGUAGC
rnacentral:rRNA from 1 species